rnacentral:rRNA from 1 species
GUCUACAGUCAUAUCACCCUGAAUGUGCCCAAUCUCAUCUGGUCUCAAAAGUUAAGCAGGGUCAGGACUGAUUAGUACUUGGAUGGGAGACAGAUCUUCAGAGGAGAGUGUUGAAAGACA